CCUACGGGUGGCAGCAGUAGGGAAUCUUCCACAAUGGGCGAAAGCCUGAUGGAGCAACGCCGCGUGGGUGAAGAAGGUCUUCGGAUCGUAAAACUCUGUUGUUAGAGAAGAAAGUCCGUGUGAGUAACUGUCUUCGCAUCGACGGUAUCUAUCCAGACAGCCUCGGCUAACUACGUGCCAGCAGCCGCGGCAAUACGUCGGUGGCAAGCGCUAUCCGGAUUUAUUGGGCGUAAAGGGAACGCAGGCGGCCUGUUAAGUGUGAUGUGAAAGGCUUCGGCUUAACCGGGGUAGUGCAGUGGAAACUGGGGGACUUGAGUGCGGAGAAGGAGGGUGGAACUCCAUGUGUAGCGGUGAAAUGCGUAGAUAUGUGGAAGAACACCGGUGGCGAAAGCAGCUCGCUGGACUGUAACUGACGCUGAGGUUCGAAAGCGUGGGUAGCGAACAGGAUUAGAUACCCUUGUAGUC
rnacentral:rRNA from 1 species